CUUGCUCCUGGAUUCAGCGGCGGACGGGUGAGUAAUGCCUAGGAAUCUGCCUGGUAGUGGGGGACAACGUUUCGAAAGGAACGCUAAUACCGCAUACGUCCUACGGGAGAAAGCAGGGGACCUUCGGGCCUUGCGCUAUCAGAUGAGCCUAGGUCGGAUUAGCUAGUUGGUGAGGUAAUGGCUCACCAAGGCGACGAUCCGUAACUGGUCUGAGAGGAUGAUCAGUCACACUGGAACUGAGACACGGUCCAGACUCCUACGGGAGGCAGCAGUGGGGAAUAUUGGACAAUGGGCGAAAGCCUGAUCCAGCCAUGCCGCGUGUGUGAAGAAGGUCUUCGGAUUGUAAAGCACUUUAAGUUGGGAGGAAGGGUUGUAGAUUAAUACUCUGCAAUUUUGACGUUACCGACAGAAUAAGCACCGGCUAACUCUGUGCCAGCAGCCGCGGUAAUACAGAGGGUGCAAGCGUUAAUCGGAAUUACUGGGCGUAAAGCGCGCGUAGGUGGUUCGUUAAGUUGGAUGUGAAAUCCCCGGGCUCAACCUGGGAACUGCAUCCAAAACUGGCGAGCUAGAGUAUGGUAGAGGGUGGUGGAAUUUCCUGUGUAGCGGUGAAAUGCGUAGAUAUAGGAAGGAACACCAGUGGCGAAGGCGACCACCUGGACUGAUACUGACACUGACG
rnacentral:rRNA from 1 species